rnacentral:rRNA from 1 species
AUUGAACGCUGGCGGCAUGCCUUACACAUGCAAGUCGAACGGUAACAGGCCUUCGGGUGCUGACGAGUGGCGAACGGGUGAGUAAUGCAUCGGAACGUACCCAGAGGUGGGGGAUAACGCAGCGAAAGCUGUGCUAAUACCGCAUGUGAUCUGAGGAUGAAAGCGGGGGACCGCGCAGCAAUGUUUGGCCUCGCGCGUUUGGAGCGGCCGAUGUCGGAUUAGCUAGUUGGUGGGGUAAAGGCCUACCAAGGCGACGAUCCGUAGCUGGUCUGAGAGGACGACCAGCCACACUGGGACUGAGACACGGCCCAGACUCCUACGGGAGGCAGCAGUGGGGAAUUUUGGACAAUGGGCGCAAGCCUGAUCCAGCAAUGCCGCGUGCGGGAAGAAGGCCUUCGGGUUGUAAACCGCUUUUGGCAGGAACGAAACGGUGUCCGCUAAUACCGGGCGCUAAUGACGGUACCUACAGAAUAAGCACCGGCUAACUACGUG